AUUCGGAAAAUCACUUCAGAGGCUUCCCCUCAUCUCCACCUCUCAUGAGAAGCUGAGCACAGAGUUCCACAGCCCAUGGCGAAGACUCUUAUUUCAUCACCACCGUUCAUCGGCGUGCCUCUUCCAGCACCAUCAUCACCAUCAUCACUCUUUCGCCAUGGUCUCCACCCGCUUCAUCACCGUAGACUCGCAGCUACCAGAGUGAAAUUCAGCUUCCAAGAAAUUCCUCCAAUUCAUUCCGUAGGCUCUUCAGUUGACUUCAACUUAAUUUAUACUCGAGCCGAGAGCUUGCUAUACACGCUCGCAGAUGCUGCUGUUUCCCUUGAUUCUGCUUCUGCAGGAGCCACCUCCUCGUCAGCAGACGCUGCUUCGCAGAAAAAUGGCGGCUGGUUUGGCUUUAUCUCCGAAUCCAUGGAGUUUGUUCUCAAGGUGUUGAAGGAUGGGCUUUCAGCUGUGCAUGUACCUUAUGCCUACGGCUUUGCUAUUAUUAUGUUGACAGUUAUUGUCAAAGUUGCUACAUUUCCCUUAACAACGAAACAGGUGGAAUCAUCGUUAGCUAUGCAAAACCUUCAACCAAAGAUCAAAGCUAUUCAGCAAAGAUAUGCUGGUAAUCAGGAGAGAAUACAACUUGAGACAUCUCGGCUAUAUAGGGAGGCAGGGGUUAAUCCAUUAGCAGGUUGUUUGCCAACAUUGGUUACUAUACCUGUCUGGAUAGGUCUGUAUCAAGCACUUUCAAAUGUUGCAAAUGAGGGACUGUUAACUGAAGGUUUCUUUUGGAUACCUUCACUGGGUGGGCCGACUACAAUUGCUGCUCGACAAAGUGGAUCUGGCAUUUCUUGGCUCUUGCCAUUUGUGGAUGGCCAUCCACCGUUGGGUUGGCAAGACACGGCUGCAUACCUUGUUUUACCUGUCCUUCUUGUUGUCUCUCAAUAUGUCUCAAUGGAGCUCAUGAAGCCUCCCCAGACAGAUGAUCCAGCUCAAAAGAACACACUUCUUGUUUUCAAGUUUCUUCCACUUAUGAUUGGUUACUUUUCCUUGUCUGUCCCAUCGGGGUUAUCAAUUUACUGGUUCACAAAUAAUGUCCUCAGCACAGCACAGCAAGUAUGGUUGCGCAAAUUAGGUGGUGCAAAGCCUGUUGUUAAUGAGAAUGCAAGUGGAAUCAUCUCUGCUGGACGUGCAAAACGAUCAGCUUCUCAGCCAUCUCGGGCUGGUGAUAGGUUCAGGCAAUUAAAAGAGGAAGAGAAGAGAAAGAAAUUGACCAAGGCGUUACCAGAGGAAGAGGUUUCUGCAUCUGAUUCGGAAGAGGAAUCUGAUGUUGAGUCUACAGAUAAGGAUGAUGGGGUUCUGGAAGGGGCAUAUGCUUCAAGUGUAAGCAAACAGGCACCAGAUGCCUCUCGGCCAAGAAGAAGCAAGCGUUCAAAGCGGAAGCGUGCUGUAUGAGAAAACAGAAACUGAUUUGUUUGUAGUUUCAUGUUCUUCGACAACUGAGAGUAGCAGCUCGAAGGGGAAGUCUGGUGGCGACAACUGUAUCUCAAUAAGCCAUGGGUAAAGAAACUCAAAAGAGAUCCAAUCCCUUGCGACAAACCACACCUAUUGAUUAGGUUUAUCCGACCUGUAAGCACAAGAGAUUAUUUCUGCAACCCAGGGCACUGAAAGGAUAAACUGGAGACAAAAAUAGUUUAAACUCCGCAUGAAUUGCAAAAUACAAUUAUGUGAGCUGUGAAUUGUCUAGCACCAGUGGCUGAUGGUACAUCAAAAACGGACUGGGGUUUCUCGUACUUUCAGAAAAUGGCCCACGUGGAAAGCCCAAUUCAUGUAAAGCUUCAUUAAAGUGCAAAGAGGUUAUCAGAUAAUUAUUUAUUUUAAUUAUGAUAAGAAAUAGCAGAUAAAUAUGAAGAUUUUGAGUUUUCCUAAAGAAAGUAUGCAGAAGGCGACAAGCCGACAGGGACCUCACCUCCUGCACCGCUCAGAUUACGUCUUUUCACUUUAGCUAGCACUUUAGCCAUCUAGCUUCUCGUGACAAACCGCUCCACCACUUUGGAUGGUCUUCAACUUGGAGCAUGCAAAUCCCUGACUGCUUGAAAUUUGGAGCGUUGAAGUUUCUUUUUAAUGGCGAACGUCGAGGUGCUUUAGUGCUUACUAGAAUCUAUCCCAGAGCCCGAGGCCCUUUUGCCCAUACUCUUUUCUUUCGGUCUGACUGGUGUCCUCAUCUCAAUGCUGACCGCUACACCAAUCUGGAACCAAAUGACAAUCCAAACGAGCAGGAGUAGCGUAGAUUUGACACAUUUUUCACAACAAAGGGUAGUCCAGUCAUUUUAUUAAAUAUAACCAAAAGUACUACUACCUCUGCCUCAUUUGCUAUAAGAAGCAACCAGAACCUUUCAGUUUUCCUCACCACUCGAUUUCCUUCUGCAGCAAUGGCUAUUCUUUCAAGUUCCUCUGUCACAACAGCUACUAUUCUUUUCCUGUGCACCCUCGCCAA